rnacentral:rRNA from 1 species
AGUGGCGGACGGGUGAGUAACGCGUGGGUAACCUGCCUCACACAGGGGGAUAACAGUUGGAAACGACCGCUAAUACCGCAUAAGCCAACAGGGGCGCAUGCUCUGGUUGGAAAAGAUUUAUCGGUGUGAGAUGGACCCGCGUCUGAUUAGCCAGUUGGCAGGGUAACGGCCUACCAAAGCGACGAUCAGUAGCCGGCCUGAGAGGGUGAACGGCCACAUUGGGACUGAGACACGGCCCAAACUCCUACGGGAGGCAGCAG